UCCUGCGGGAGUCUGCACCUGCGCCGGUGAGGGACCAUGGCGUACUCCACCGUGCAGAGAGUGGCCCUGGCCUCGGGGCUCGUGCUGGCUGUGUCGCUGCUGCUGCCCAAGGCCUUCCUGUCUCGCGGAAAGCGGCAGGAGCCGCCGCCAGCACCUGAAGGAAAGUUGGGCCGAUUUCCACCUAUGAUGCAUCAUCACCAGGCUGCCUCAGAUGGCCAGAUCCCUGGGGCUCGUUUCCAGAGGUCUCACCUCGCAGAGGCGUUUGCAAAGGCCAAAGGAUCAGGUGGAGGCACUGGAGGAGGAGGUAGUGGAAGAAGCCUGAUGGGGCAGAUUAUUCCAAUCUACGGUUUUGGGAUUUUUUUAUAUAUACUGUACAUUCUGUUUAAGCUCUCAAAGGGGAAAUCAACUGCAGAGGAUCGGAAAUGCUCUACUUCCACACCUGGAAACGCCCACAGGAAAAUUACCAAUUUUGAGCUUGCUCAACUGCAAGAAAAACUGAAGGAGACAGAGGAAGCCAUGGAAAACUUAAUCAACAGAGUAGGACCUAAUGGUGAGAGCAGAGCACAGACUGUGACUUCUGACCAAGAGAAACGGUUGCUGCAUCAGCUCCGAGAAAUCACCAGGGUCAUGAAAGAAGGAAAAUUCAUUGACAGAACUUCUCCAGAGAAAGAAGCUGAAGAGGCCCCUUACAUGGAAGACUGGGAAGGUUACCCUGAAGAAACUUAUCCAAUUUAUGACCUUUCAGACUGUAUCAAACAUAGGCAAGAAACCAUCCUAGUGGAUUACCCUGACCCAAAAGAGCCUUCUGCUGAAGAAAUAGCUGAAAGAAUGGGAGUGAUAGAAGAGGAAGAAUCAGACCAUUUGGGUUGGCAAAGUCUGCCCACUGACACCAGAGCCCAGGAAGAUAAUUCUGUUACCUCAUGUGACCCAAAGCCAGAAACACGUUCCUGCUGUUUUCAUGAAGAAGAGGAUCCUGCUGUCUUAGCAGAGAAUGCUGGAUUUAAUGCAGAUAGCUAUCACGAGCAAGAGGCAACCACCAAAGAAGAGUGGCCCCAAGACUUUAGAGAUGAAGGGUUGGGCAUCAACGCUGAUCAAGUAUAUACAGGUAGCAUGUUGAGGAAGCGUAACCCCCAGGGUUUAGAGUGAAAACAGCCAGUCUGGUGAAGUAUCCAUUACUCUAGUCCCAAGGUGACCCUUCUCUCCUCAGAUUUCCUCCUUGGCCCUGUACCCUGUACUUCUUUGUCUGUGUUCAGAUGUCAUAGCUAUCAGGCUACCACCAUGGAUAUGAUGUACCUGUCCUAGUACUCACACACCUGUCACCAUGUAAAACAUGGACAUUAGUGUGAACACAUGAUAGCUUCGCUCUUUCUCUUCCUGCUUUCCCCCAUCAGAGAAGUUGAUCCAUUGAGUAAUUGUGUUUGGUCUGUAGCAAUUUCAGAUGGGACCACUCAGGACAAAGGUCUGACUCUUCCUGCUAGGUGAACAGAUGGUUUACCUGUGAAUGAACUCAGCUUACAGAUGAUGAGGACUAAGUUUGCAAGAGUGAAGAUUUCAGAUGCCAAGAUGCCUUAUUCUUUGGGCCUUGAGCAGAAUAUCCCGCACAUGCUAUUUCCCACGGAGGCCACAGCAGAUAGGCCAUGGGGUUCAGGAGGAACACCUUGGGGAGUGGAGCAAGGUCACGUUCCAGACCCGGCCUCUGGUCCACACACAAUCACGGGUGCCACUCACACCCCACACUCACAUGAGUGACUCUCCCUGGUUCAGCUCCCAAACACAUACGUGCACACACACGAAUGCACUGGCAAACACAAAGGUAUGCGAUGACCAGGCACAGAGGCUGUUUCUUUGGGGAACUUAGGUCAGUGUUGGAUCGGAGGCUUUCAGUCACAUUCUAGCCUGCAGGCCCUCAAGCCUGGCUUGAUGAAAAUGCAUGCCCAAACCAACCUCACCUUCUUCCCAUCCUCUCGGUCCAGGUGCAGGAAGUAGGUGGGGUACAUGCCCCGGUCCAUCCCCUUCUUGUCCCUCGUGAUGCGGCAUUUGAUGGUGAUGCCCUGGGGGGCUGGCCUCAGCGCAAACUCCUCAAGAUCCUGGACCUCAACAUCCACUGGUUGGUCUGGGGCUGUGGGGCUGGGGGCUGAGGCUGCCUCCUACGGGGAGAGAGCAGGAGCCUGAGCCCCAGGGACCCUGGGCAGCCAAAAUUGCUGGUCUGGGAUCCAAAUCCACCUCCUGAUGUGGUGGUGAGAGACAGGGCAGGAUCCUUGGGGUCAAGAGCUAUCUUCCCAGCCCUUCCCUCUCCUCAGUCCCUACAGGUAGACAUGGGGCAUGGGCAGGGCCUCAGAGGUCAUCCUGUCCAACUCCAGCUCUCCCCAGCCUCCCUGGCCUGGCUGAGGACAUUAGGAGGGAGGGGAGAAGGGCAGAAGAGCCCAGCCAGAGGCAGUCCUGACAGGCAUCUGGGUCCAGCCCUGGCCCCUGGAAAGCCAGCUCCCCAUCAUUUCACACAGCCCACCUCCUGCUUGGACGAGCAGUCGUCUGCACCCUGCCGUCUCGCCCCUGCUGUGGAUGAAGGCUCCUCACUCACCCUCGUGGACUUCUUGCUAGUAGCAGAGCUGGGGCGAGUGUUGCUAUUUAGCUGGGAGGAGCUGGAGCUGUUCUCAUCCUCAUCCUCCUCUUCCUCGUCAAAGCUCAUGCUGCUGGAGAUGCCUGGGCCGAGCAGAGAACAAGAAAGGGUAAAUGAGGAGAAGUUUGCCCCUGAGACACACGUAGUCACGGAGAGACUCCAGUUCACAGAGCCAGACACACGUAUACACACACAUACAAUCACGUGUAUACUCCCACACAUGUCCACAUAUGCACAAGGACACACAUUCUCUCAGGUGCACAUGAGCUGGGGCUGGUCACAAUCCUCAGGAUACGUCCCCACCAACCACCCAGUUUCAGCUCAGUCCCUGCAUCAGCCCCUCCCAACGGUCAUAUCGCCUCUGUCUGCUGUGUAUCGGGCCUGCACUGAGCCGACCCUGCACCAGGAACCUCCAUUUCUCAUCUUGGGCCUACAAGGCCCUGACUGGCACAGGCUAUGGAAUCUGCCAGGGAAUAGGCCACGGCCCCUUACUCAGCCCCAUGUGUGGGGCCCACUGACCCCUCGUGUUUCCCCCAACCUGCCCUGAGCUGCCAUCUCAGCUGUUCUGCCCCCUGCCCUCCUCCACCUGGAAUGCCACCCCCAUCCCAGAGUUGUCCCCAGAAAGCCAUCCUUGAUUAGAUUCCCCACAAUGUGUGUGGCACUGCCAGACUUUUCCCUCUGCCACCCUGCACCAGGGGCUCCCCAGGGCAGGGCUCGUGGUGGGGAAAUUGGGCGGCUGGUUUCCAGGGAGGUUCUGCUCUGCCUUGGCCUCCUGGUCCUGCUCCUCCCUCGCUCAGCAUAUGGGGAGAGCUUUCUACCAGAGGUGGAGCUUUUUCUAAGGAGCGGAAGGGAAAAGCAAA